CGCUGGCGGCAUGCCUAACACAUGCAAGUCGAACGAGACCUUCGGGUCUAGUGGCGCACGGGUGCGUAACGCGUGGGGAUCUGCCCUUUGCUUCGGAAUAACAGUUAGAAAUGACUGCUAAUACCGGAUGAUGUCGUAAGACCAAAGAUUUAUCGGCAAAGGAUGAACCCGCGUAGGAUUAGCUAGUUGGUGGGGUAAAGGCCUACCAAGGCGACGAUCCUUAGCUGGUCUGAGAGGAUGAUCAGCCACACUGGGACUGAGACACGGCCCAGACUCCUACGGGAGGCAGCAGUGGGGAAUAUUGGACAAUGGGCGAAAGCCUGAUCCAGCAAUGCCGCGUGAGUGAUGAAGGCCUUCGGGUUGUAAAGCUCUUUUACCAGGGAUGAUAAUGACAGUACCUGGAGAAUAAGCUCCGGCUAACUCCGUG
rnacentral:rRNA from 1 species